GACCGUUGAUAGACGACUCCUUCUGUCUUUUGGCAGCCAGUGGACAACUGCCUGCACUGCGAUGGGAUGUGUAUUUUCCUGAUAUGUGGCCCUGUCCGUCACAGCCAAUUACUGGACACCUAACAAGGAAAACCACAGAAUGUGCACUUUGCUGAAGUUGACGGGGAUGGAGUUUUCCCAGCUCUCUGUGUCACACAGCUGCUGAUAGAAGGCAGGGCUGAUGAGCACGUUUCCACCAUUGGCCACAGUGAACUCGGGAGGAGGAGGAGGAAGAGGAGGAGGAGGAGGAGGAUGAAGAGAAGGAGACAGGUGUUCCUCCGGAGGUGUCUUCACCUGGACUCUCACGUUCUCUUUGCACUUCUUCAUGCUCAAGUCCAAGGACACACAAUCAAGAUGGCAGCUUGGGGGCAGGAAAGGGUGGAGUUGCCCAAUUUGAGGGCAUCACUAUUAUAAAAGGAAAAACGUGGCAAAAGUUUUGUUGACAGUCAGUUUGGGUUAUGACCAAAACAUUCCACGACUGUUUAAUGGCGUUAAAAGUUUAAAAGUGUUAAAUGGUCAAAUCUUUCUAGACAAAUGGAACUAAUUAUUCUAUUUAUAUGUUUCACUGAAGCCUAUCAUUUUUUUGUAACAAAGGCAAAACCUUUCAGAUUAAUUAUAGGGAGAGGGGGGUUGGAGGGGUCAUUUUCAUGAACACUGCACGUCCAGUUUAAUUAUCCAGGCAUUUGGUGAUGUGUUUACAUCAUCAAAAAAUUACCAUAAUGAUUCUAUACAGUAGCAGGUCCAAUAACUCUGGAUUUAUCCACUGUAUUCACAUGUUUUCUUAAUUAUUGCACUGUUUUAUAAGUCAAAAAAUUAUAAAAGUAUAAUUCUGUUAAGGUAUUGUAAAAUGUUGUUUCUUUUUAUUUUAUUAACAUACAUGUGCAGAUAAGUUAAAGACAAACAACACCACAGCACUCGUUAAAAAUGGCUCAUUUUCCAGACUUGAAAGCUGUUCUUUAUCCCCCUCUCCAAGACAACUAAGCUGUAAAUGUGAACAGAUGAUUAACUUGCUAACACUGUUUUAUUCAUUCAGUGGGCUGGUACCUGGUACAGGGCCACGUUCUCAGCUCAACAAGCUGGGAGACAGAGAUCUGUGCUGUGUAGGUGUGGAAACCUUGAAUCAUCUACAGUACACCCUGCACGUAUGUAACCUACCGAAUGUAAUCGCUAUUAAUCACCAAGUUUUUCAGGGCUGAACACAAUACCAGGCUGACGGAUACGGCAGCUGAGCAGGGUUUGGAUCUGCACCCGUCUCCAAAAUGACUCUGGUCUCGGUGCCAGUUAAACUUUUCAGAUGUUAACUCCUUUAUCUGAUUGGAUUAAUCCGGUUAAAUGCCGUUAAAGACUAUCUGCUGUAGUCACCCAGCCUAUGUUGGAUCACACAACUAAGCAAAAUAUCCCCUGCCAUCUGCAGUGGGCAAGAUCCACUGACAGACAACAGUUCAGGCUUUUUACAUGCCAGACGAUGUCGAAAUUUAAUACAAUACCACAUGUGUUAUUAAUAAAAAAAAAAGGAGCAGCAUUUUUAAUAGGGAAUCCUGGCUAAUUGCAUUUCUUAAUUUGCUCUAAUCACACAAGUUUGAAUUUCUGUAAAAGAAAAAAACUGU